rnacentral:rRNA from 1 species
UACGAAGGGUGCAAGCGUUAAUCGGAAUUACUGGGCGUAAAGGGUGCGUAGGCGGUUCGUUAAGUCUGUCGUGAAAUCCCCGGGCUCAACCUGGGAAUGGCGAUGGAUACUGGCGAGCUAGAGUGUGUCAGAGGAUGGUGGAAUUCCCGGUGUAGCGGCGAAAUGCGUAGAGAUCGGGAGGAACAUCAGUGGCGAAGGCGGCCAUCUGGGACAACACUGACGCUGAAGCACGAAAGCGUGGGGAGCAAACAGG